UGAAGUCCUUGCUGUUGAUGCAUUUAAGUGUCCUCUUCCUCCUCAGGGCACAACACUAUAUAUAGCAGGUUGCACCAUUCUCCCCCAUCACAAACACACCCUGUGCCCACCCUCUCUCCCUGCACAGUGCCCUCUCCACAAGCAGCACAAUAGAAGCAGUAGUGCGGCACGAAGGUGUUGCAAUAGGAACCCCAUUGCGAGCAUGGCGGAGUCGCCGGCGAGCUCGUGCGUGUCAUCGGACGCGGAGGAGGAGACAGUGACGAAGGGGAUGGUGGUGGUGGGGUGCCCGCGGUGCCUCAUGUACGUGAUGCUGUCGGAGGCGGAGGAGCAGCCCAGGUGCCCCCGGUGCAAGAGCCCCGUCCUGCUGCACUUCCUCCACGGCACCGCUGAAGACGCCAACUCCAACAACACCAACAGGCAGGGCAGCAAGAGCUAGCCUGCAGUUCAGCUGCUUCUACUCCUCUCAUUUGCCAUGUUUUGACGCAUGUAUUCCGACUGCAGCGCCCUGUAGCUGUAGACCCUCUCUCCCUAUGAACUUGUAUUCGCACGCAGGACCGACGACAGGUCGAUCAGAACUCUUGUUUCUCUGUCUAUUCCAGAACCAUGUUCUGAAUUUAGGCUCAUAUACUUUGCUUUAAGAAGGCCGUUUACCUUUUUGCAA